rnacentral:tRNA from 1 species
GUCUUCGUAGCUCAGUUGGUUAGAGCGUCUGACUGUUACUCUUCUCAGCCCGCCCUCGUACGGCGGCACAAAAGGACUUGUUGCAAAGUCAGCCUAAUGGAUCUCGCUUGCGGAUUCAGUGCACUGUUUGGAAAGACAUGGCACAUCAGGAGGUCGACAGUUCGAACCUGUCCGAGGACG